GUAAUUUUCAAUGAUGCUGUAUGUACUGAUCAACCACAACAUUAAAACCACUGUGAAGUAAAUAACAUUGAUUAGAUUGUUACAAUGGCACCAUUUAAGGGGGGAAGAGGGGAUAUUUUAGGCAGCAAAUCAACAGUCAGUUACUGAAUUCCAUGUGUUGGAAGCAGUAAAAAUGUGAAAGAUCUGAGUGACUUUGAAGGGCCAAAUAGUGAUAGCUAGACGACUGGGUCAGAGCAUCCAAGUAAGCAGUGGUUAGUAUCUACCAAAAGCGGUGCAAGG